GGACAAUGGAAGGAAAUUUUAUCCCGCCCUGCCCCGGGGGCAGGAAGGACGGCCCUAUGGGGUGUUAACUGCUUUUGUAGGGGGAGCAAUAAGGUCUAUGGGUAGACGGAUGAGAGUACCCUAAGAAAUAAGCCUCGGGUUACUCCGUGCCCGCGCCCGCGGUAAUUCGGGGGAUGCAAAGCUUUUUCCGGAUUUAUUGGGUUAAAAGGGGGGUAGGCGGUUGAUAAGUCAGCGGUGAAAUAUUUCAGCUUAACUGAAAGGGGGCCGUUGAUACUGUCAGGCUUGAAUAUGGUUGCUGUGGGUGGAAUGUGUGGUGUAGCGGUGAAAUGCUUAGAUAUCACACAGAAUAUCGAUUGCGAAGGCAGCUCACAAAGCCAUUAUUGACGCUGAUGCACGAAAGUGUGGGGAUCAAACAGGAUUAGAUACCCUGGUAGUUCCACACUGUAAACGAUGAUAACUCGCUGUCGGCGAUACACAGUCCGGUAGGCAAGCGAAAGCGAUAAGUUAUCCACCUGGUGAGGGGAAGUACGACCGCAAGGUUGAAACUCAAAGGAAUUGACGGGGGCCCGCACAAGCGGAGGAACAUGUGGUUUAAUUCGAUGAUACGCGAGGAACCUUACCCGGGCUCGAACGGUGCAGGAAUACGUCAGAGAUGAUGUAGCUAGCAAUAGUCUGUAUCGAGGUGCUGCAUGGUUGUCGUCAGCUCGUGCCGUGAGGUGUCGGCUUAAGUGCCAUAACGAGCGCAACCCUUGUCGUUAGUUGCCAUCAGGUAAUGCUGGGAACUCUAGCGAGACUGCCACCGUAAGGUGUGAGGAAGGGGGGGAUGACGUCAAAUCAGCACGGCCCUUACGUCCGGGGCGACACACGUGUUACAAUGGUAGGUACAGAGGGCAGCUACCCAGCAAUGGGGUGCGAAUCUCAAAAGCCUAUCUCGGUUCGGAUCGGAGUCGCAACUCGACUCCGUGAAGUUGGAUUCGCUAGUAAUCCGCAUCAGCCAUGGCGGGUGUUCUCCGGCCCUGUACACAUCUCCAUGGUCACACGAGGAAACAGUCUACACAUGAUACGCGGGAAGGC
rnacentral:rRNA from 1 species